UUAUCAGACUUGUUACAAGGUUGUUCUAACAAGUCUGAUGCAGUCAUGAUUUCACAAGAAUGUUGCAAGGUUGACGACACACAAUAUUUUUAUAUCAUGAAUGUAUCGGAUUUGGUGGAACAACCUUUUAACAAGUCUGAUAA